AGCAGCGUUACGUAGUGGUUAGAGCGCUUGACUACGACUCUGGAGACCAGGGUUCGAGUCCCCGCUCGGAUA